CACGUAGGGACCAAGCGUUGUUCGGAUUUACUGGGCGUAAAGGGCGCGUAGGCGGCAUGACAAGUCACUUGUGAAAUCUCCGGGCUUAACUCGGAACGGUCAAGUGAUACUGUCGCGCUAGAGUGCGGAAGGGGCAAUCAGAAUUCUUGGUGUAGCGGUGAAAUGCGUAGAUAUCAAGAGGAAUACCUGAGGUGAAGACGGGUUGCUAGGCCGACACUGACGCUGAGACGCGAAAGCGUGGGGAGCGAACAGG
rnacentral:rRNA from 1 species